ACAGUUAUUUAUAGCCUCGGCUAUAAGUAUCUGUUAGUGGCAGACGGGUGAGUAAUGCGUAGGAAUCUGCCUAGUAGUAUGGAAUAGCUAUUAGAAAUGAUAGGUAAUACUGUAUAAUCCCUGAGGGGGAAAGAUUUAUCGCUAUUAGAUGAGCCUACGUUAGAUUAGCUAGUUGGUAAGGUAAUGGCUUACCAAGGCAAUGAUCUAUAGCUGGUCUGAGAGGACGAUCAGCCACACUGGAACUGAGAUACGGUCCAGACUCCUACGGGAGGCAGCAGUGGGGAAUAUUGGACAAUGGGCGAAAGCCUGAUCCAGCUAUGCCGCGUGAGUGAAGAAGGCCUUCGGGUUGUAAAACUCUUUU
rnacentral:rRNA from 1 species